rnacentral:rRNA from 1 species
GACGAACGCUGGCGGCGUGCCUAACACAUGCAAGUCGAACGAAGUAUGUUUUUCGGAAUGUACUUAGUGGCGGACGGGUGAGUAACGCGUGAAUAAUCUGCCCCAUACAGGGGGAUAGCCUCGGGAAACCGGGAUUAAAACCGCAUGAUGCUUUUUAUCGCAUGGUAGAGAAGUCAAAUCGAAUAAGAGGUAUGGGAUGAGUUCGCGUCUGAUUAGCUGGUUGGCGGGGUAANGCCCACAAGGCCACGAUGCAUAACCGACCUGAGAGGGUGAUCGGCCACACUGGGACUGAGACACGGCCCAGACUCCUACGGGAGCAGCAGUAGGAUCUCGG